GUGCUUAACACAUGCAAGUCGAACGGAAAGGCCCUUUCGGGGGUACUCGAGUGGCGAACGGGUGAGUAACACGUGGGUGAUCUGCCCUGCACUUUGGGAUAAGCCUGGGAAACUGGGUCUAAUACCGAAUAGGACCACGCGCUUCAUGGUGUGUGGUGGAAAGCUUUUGCGGUGUGGGAUGGGCCCGCGGCCUAUCAGCUUGUUGGUGGGGUAAUGGCCUACCAAGGCGACGACGGGUAGCCGGCCUGAGAGGGUGUCCGGCCACACUGGGACUGAGAUACGGCCCAGACUCCUACGGGAGGCAGCAGUGGGGAAUAUUGCACAAUGGGCGCAAGCCUGAUGCAGCGACGCCGCGUGGGGGAUGACGGCCUUCGGGUUGUAAACCUCUUUCAGUAUCGGCGAAGCUCCAGGAUUUUUCUUGGGGUGACGGUAGGUACAGAAGAAGCACCGGCCAACUACGUGCCAGCAGCCGCGGUAAUACGUAGGGUGCGAGCGUUGUCCGGAAUUACUGGGCGUAAAGAGCUCGUAGGUGGUU
rnacentral:rRNA from 1 species